UUGACCUCGGAUCCAGGU
rnacentral:rRNA from 1 species